rnacentral:rRNA from 1 species
AGGACGAACGCUGGCGGCGUGCCUAAUGCAUGCAAGUCGAGCGACGAAUAGGUGAGGGUAACCAAGCCUAUUACGGAGCGGCGAACGGGUGAGUAACACGUGAGCAACCUGCCCCGAAGACCGGGAUAGCCCAGGGAAACUUGGAUUAAUACCGGAUAUCCUCUUUUGAUCGCAUGGUCGUUGGAGGAAAUGCUUUUUACGCUUCGGGAUGGGCUCGCGGCCUAUCAGCUUGUGGUGGGGUAACGGCCUACCAAGGCGUCGA